rnacentral:rRNA from 1 species
AUUCCAGCUCCAAUAGCGUAUAUUAAAGUUGUUGCAGUUAAAAAGCUCGUAGUUGAAUUUCUGGUGGGAGUGUACAGUCCGACACUGAGUGUUGGUUCUUGUGUGUCUCCGGCCAUCCUUGGAGUGAAUCUGUCUGGCAUUUAGUUGUUGGGCAGAGUAUCUCCAUCGUUUACUGUGAGGAAAGGAAAGUGUUCAAAGCAGGCUUACGCCGUUGAAUCUUUUAGCAUGGAAUAAUAAGAUAGGAUCUUGAUACUAUUUUGUUGGUUUGCGUGUCGAGAUAAUGAUUAAUAGGGACAAUUGGGGGGAUUCGUAUUAUGGCGUCAGAGGUGGAAUUCUUGGAUUGCCAUACGACGAACUACUGCGAAAGCAUUUCUCAGGGAUGUUUUCAUUA